GUAUAUGGAGUGUUCAUUAAAAUCACAUUUUUUUCCUAUUAUAAAGAUACUACAAGUUCUUUAUAGAAAGUUUAGGAAAUAGAGAAAAAAAUUUAAUAAACUACAUCUAUUCAUCAAUACCCCUCUGACUUAAAAUGCCAACUCUAUAGAAAUUAGCUAGUAUUAACAUUUUGUUAUUUCCCUUGUGUGGUUGUAUAUAUAUGUAAAUUAUAUUUCUAAGCAAAAUACAUUUUUUGUGUGUGUAAACAAAAUUUUAUAAAUACAACUGUAUUGCAAAUGUUCUUUGUCCUGCUUCUCACUUGACAUUGCAUUAUGAGUAUUCUUCCAGGUCAGUAAAUUUCAAAAACCUGACAUUAAUAGCUACAGAUAAUUUCAUAAACAUCUCAUUGUAUCUUUUUCAUUAGCAAUAGCUCCACUUUGGGUGGGGGAGAUGAUAAUGUGCUUUGUUAAAAAUACCUCCCCAACUCCUGCUAAGGGUGGCCAUGAGACUCAGCUCUGGCAAGUUAAGAAAUACAGGUGGAAUUCUGCUUGAUAAAGCUGCUGGGUUUUUUUGUUACAAAAGGACAGACUUGGCAAGCAUGAGCCUUUGCUCUUAUCUUUUCAUCCUACUUGGAGUGCAGAGAUAAAACCUGAGUACCAGAGCCACUUUUAGGCAUAAGGAAGGCAGCCAUGUGCUUUGGGUCAUGUUAGUAAAAAGACUCAGAGCUUGGCUCCUUGCUGACAUGCCUGGAGGAGCUGCUACACCAGCUUGGAUUGCUGACCUCUGACUUCUUGGUAGUGAGAAGAAUAAACACUGUGCUUAAUUAGGCCUCGGUCAGGUUUCUCUUAUAUGCAGCCAAAUGCAGUCCUAAGUAAUACAAUAAAUAACUGGUCAAACUGUUACUGGUGGAGGGUGUCCAGGUUCUUGGCAUUUUGGACAAAUAAUUGAACAAAACGCACAAAGCAAUGAAUAUCCUCUAGAGGUUUGCCAUUGGUUACUUGGCGUACACCCUGUGUAAAUGAAGUAGUGGCCCGUGACCUGUCUGAUUGGUGCAGAAAGUGACCAAUCAGAGGCUGAAGUGAA
rnacentral:lncRNA from 10 species